rnacentral:rRNA from 1 species
UAGUCAACAUGCCCAGGGGACGUGGAUAACCUCGGGAAACUGAGGAUAAACCGCGAUAGGUCAUCACUUCUGGAAUGGGUAAUGACUUAAAUCUAUAUGGCCCCUGGAUUGGACUGCGGCCGAUCAGGCUGUUGGUGAGGUAAUGGCCCACCAAACCUGUAACCGGUACGGGCUCUGAGAGGAGGAGCCCGGAGAUGGGCACUGAGACAAGGGCCCAGGCCCUAUGGGGCGCAGCAGGCGCGAAACCUCUGCAAUAGGCGAAAGCCUGACAGGGUUACUCUGAGUGAUUCCCGCUAAGGGGAUCUUUUGGCACCUCUAAAAAUGGUGCAGAAUAAGGGGUGGGCAAGUCUGGUGUCAGCCGCCGCGGUAAUACCAGCACCCCGAGUGGUCGGGACGUUUAUUGGGCCUAAAGCAUCCGUAGCCGGUCAUGCAAGUCCUCCGUUAAAUCCACCUGCUCAACAGAUGGGCUGCGGAGGAUACUACAAGGCUAGGAGGCGGAAGAGGCAAGCGGUACUCAGUGGGUAGGGGUAAAAUCCUCUGAUCCAUUGAAGACCACCAGUGGCGAAGGCGGCUUGCCAAUACGCGCUCGACGGUGAGGGAUGAAAGCUGGGGGAGCAAACCGGAUUAGAUACCCGGGUAGUCCCAGCUGUAAACGAUGCAGACUCGGUGAUGGGCCGGCUUUAUGCCGGCUCAGUGCCGCAGGGAAGCCGUUAAGUCUGCCGCCUGGGGAGUACGGUCGCAAGACUGAAACUUAAAGG